rnacentral:rRNA from 1 species
GGAUUGCAGGCUGAAACCCGCCUGCAUGAAGUUGGAAUCGCUAGUAAUCGCGGAUCAGCAUGCCGCGGUGAAUACGUUCCCGGGCCUUGUACACACCGCCCGUCACACCAUGAGAGUCGGGAACACCCGAAGUCCGUAGUCUAACCGCAAGGGGACGCGGCCGAAGGUGGGUUCGAUAAUUGGGGUGAAGUCGUAACAAGGUAGC